AUGCGAUAGUAGCGUUCCAACAGGGCAGCAUCACGCCCCGCGUCGCAGCAGCCGAAGUUUGAGUACUGCAGGCAGAAAGUGAGCGGGCGAGGAGGCUUGAAAGGCGGUUUGAAAUCCAGGCAUUGUGGAUGGCUCGACGCCAGCUCUGCGAACAGGGCCAGCAGGGCUACCAGAGCCCAGGAUCGGCGCCCAGGGCCCCUCGUCAUGCUUCCUCGGGCUAGGGACUUUUGCAAUCAAAAUGAAUGAAUCAAGGUGAAACAGGAAAAAAAGCAAUUUAAUGAGGACAACCUAUAUAUGCUUCAUAAAAAAAGAGUCUAUGUGAUACAUACCUAUUGAGUUUAAUGGAAGUUACUCUCAGAUGUAUGAGUGCCAUUUCUUCUUUUGGAAAUGAAGGACAUUCUGCCCUGCACCUGGAGUGGCAUGACUGGGAGACAUCUACAGUUGGGACGGUGCAUUGAUUAGACCAUGUGAUGGACGUGUGGGUGCAGAGGAAGGGACUUGGACUUUCUUUUGAGUGGGGAAAACCUGGAAGCUUUCAGAUUUGGGUUUUCCCAGAUGUGCCAAUAUGACAUCUCUAAUAAAAUGGAACUUUGAGGAA